rnacentral:rRNA from 1 species
GCACAAGCAGCGGAGCGUGUGGUUUAAUUCGAUGCUACACGAAGAACCUUACCAGGUUUGACAUGCAAGUGGUAGGAAUCGUGAAAAGGGACCGACCCUUCGGGGAGCUUGCACAGGUGCUGCAUGGCUGUCGUCAGCUCGUGUCGUGAGAUGUUCGGUUAAGUCCGCUAACGAGCGCAACCCUCACUGUGUGUUAUAUGUGUCACACGGGACUGCCGGUUUUAAGCCGGAGGAAGGUGGGAUGACGUCAAGUCAGCAUGGCCUUUAUAUCCUGGGCUACACACACGCUACAAUGGUCGGUACAAUAGGUUGCCAAGCCGCGAGGCGGAGUCAAUCCACAAAGCCGGCCUCAGUUCAGAUUGUAGGCUGCAACUCGCCUGCAUGAAGUCGGAGUUGCUAGUAAACGCAGGUCAGCUAUACUGCGUUGAAUACGUUCCCGGGGCUU